rnacentral:rRNA from 1 species
CAAUAGCGUAUAUUAAAGUUGUUGCGGUUAAAAAGCUCGUAGUUGGAUUUGAGUAAUUGAAAAGAUCCAUUUUUGGAAUCUUGAAUAUUGCUUUUUAGAAUUAUUGCAUCGAUUGAUUUCGUUUUCAAUAGUCUAAAACUUUGAGGAAAUUAGAGUGUUUAAAGCAGAUUGUUGUCCUGAAUAUAUUAGCAUGGAAUAACAAUAAAGAUUUUUAUCUAUAUUUGUUGGUUUGAAGGUAAAAAUAAUGAUAAAUAGGGACAGUCGGGGGCGUUUGAAUUUAACAGUCAGAGGUGGAAUUCUUGGAUUUGUUAAGGUCAAACUACUGCGAAAGCAUUUGCCAAGGAUGUUUUCAUUGA